UAAUACGUAGGGGGCGAGCGUUGUCCGGAUUUAUUGGGCGUAAAGAGCUCGUAGGCGGCUUGGCAAGUCGGGUGUGAAACCUCCAGGCUCAACCUGGAGACGCCACUCGAUACUGCUAUGGCUAGAGUCCGGUAGGGGACCACGGAAUUCCUGGUGUAGCGGUGAAAUGCGCAGAUAUCAGGAGGAACACCGGUGGCGAAGGCGGUGGUCUGGGCCGGCACUGACGCUGAGGAGCGAAAGCGUGGGUAGCAAACAGGAUUAGAUACCCUGGUAGUCCACGCCGUAAACGUUGGGCACUAGGUGUGGGGCCUUAUCAACGGGUUCCGUGCCGUAGCUAACGCAUUAAGUGCCCCGCCUGGGGAGUACGGUCGCAAGGCU
rnacentral:rRNA from 1 species